rnacentral:rRNA from 1 species
UACGUAGGGUGCGAGCGUUAAUCGGAAUUACUGGGCGUAAAGCGUGCGCAGGCGGCUCUUCAAGUCAGGUGUGAAAGCCCCGGGCUUAACCUGGGAAUUGCGCUUGAAACUGGGGGGCUGGAGUGUGGCAGAGGGAGGUGGAAUUCCUGGUGUAGCGGUGAAAUGCGUAGAUAUCAGGAGGAACACCGAUGGCGAAGGCAGCCUCCUGGGCCAACACUGACGCUCAGGCACGAAAGCGUGGGGAGCAAACAGG